CAGAGGUGAGGCUGCAGGGAGGAAUAUUGGUCAAUGGCCGUAAGGCUGAACCAGCCAAGUCGCGUGAAGGAAGAAGGAUCUAUGGUUUGUAAACUUCUUUUAUAGGGGAAUAAAGGUAUCCACGUGUGGAUAUUUGCAUGUACCCUAUGAAUAAGCAUCGGCUAACUCCGUGCCAGCAGCCGCGGUAAUACGGAGGAUGCGAGCGUUAUCCGGAUUUAUUGGGGUUAAAGGGUCGUAGGUUGUUUUUUAAGUCAGCGGUGAAAGUUUGUGGCUCAACCAUAAAAUUGCCGUUGAAACUGGAAGACUUGAGUGUGUUUGAGGUAGGCGGAAUGCGUGGUGUAGCGGUGAAAUGCAUAGAUAUCACGCAGAACUCCGAUUGCGAAGGCAGCUUACUAAGCCAUAACUGACACUGAAGCACGAAAGCGUGGGGAUCAAACAGGAUUAGAUACCCGAGUAGUC
rnacentral:rRNA from 1 species